ANGUAUGCUUUGGAAACUGUUAGACUUGAGUGCAGAAGGGGAGAGUGGAAUUCCAUGUGUAGCGGUGAAAUGCGUAGAUAUAUGGAGGAACACCGGUGGCGAAAGCGGCUCUCUGGUCUGUCACUGACGCUGAGGCUCGAAAGCGUGGGUAGCGAACAGGAUUAGAUACCCUGGUAGUNCACGCCGUAAACGCUGAGUGCUAGGUGUUAGGUCCUUUCCGGGACUUAGUGCCGACGCUAACGCAUUAAGCACUCCGCCUGGGGAGUACGACCGCAAGGUUGAAACUCAAAGGAAUUGACGGGGGCCCGCACAAGCGGUGGAGCAUGUGGUUUAAUUCGAAGCAACGCGAAGAACCUUACCAGGUCUUGACAUCCCGAUGCCCGCUCUAGAGAUAGAGUUUUUCUUCGGAACAUCGGAGACAGGUGGUGCAUGGUUGUCGUCAGCUCGUGUCGUGAGAUGUUGGGUUAAGUCCCGCAACGAGCGCAACCCUUAUUGUUAGUUGCCAUCAUUAAGUUGGGCACUCUAGCGAGACUGCCGGUAAUAAACCGGAGGAAGGUGGGGAUGACGUCAAAUCAUCAUGCCCCUUAUGACCUGGGCUACACACGUGCUACAAUGGUUGGUACAACGAGUCGCAAGCCGGUGACGGCAAGCUAAUCUCUGAAAGCCAAUCUCAGUUCGGAUUGUAGGCUGCAACUCGCCUACAUGAAGUCGGAAUCGCUAGUAAUCGCGGAUCAGCACGCCGCGGUGAAUACGUUCCCGGGCCUUGUACA
rnacentral:rRNA from 1 species